rnacentral:rRNA from 1 species
GAUGAACGCUGGCGGCGUGCCUAGUACAUGCCAGUCGAGCGAACAGACGAGGAGCUUGCUCCUCUGACGUUAGCGGCGGACGGGUGAGUAACACGUGGAUAACCUACCUAUAAGACUGGGAUAACUUCGGGAAACCGGAGCUAAUACCGGAUAAUAUAUUGAACCGCAUGGUUCAAUAGUGAAAGACGGUUUUGCUGUCACUUAUAGAUGGAUCCGCGCCGCAUUAGCUAGUUGGUAAGGUAACGGCUUACCAAGGCGACGAUGCGUAGCCGACCUGAGAGGGUGAUCGGCCACACUGGAACUGAGACACGGUCCAGACUCCUACGGGAGGCAGCAGUAGGGAAUCUUCCGCAAUGGGCGAAAGCCUGACGGAGCAACGCCGCGUGAGUGAUGAAGGUCUUCGGAUCGUAAAACUCUGUUAUUAGGGAAGAACAAAUGUGUAAGUAACUAUGCACGUCUUGACGGUACCUAAUCAGAAAGCCACGGCUAACUACGUG